UCAGGAUGAACGCUGGCGGUAUGCCUAACACAUGCAAGUCGUACGAGAGUUUUUAACUCUAGUGGCGGACGGGUGAGUAACACGUGAGAAUUUACCUUUAGGAGGGGGAUAACAAUUGGAAACGAUUGCUAAUACCCCAUAUGCUUUUGAGUGAAAUGGAUUUAUAUUUAUCCGCCUAGAGAGAAGCUCGCGGCUGAUUAGCUUGUUGGUAAGGUAAGAGCUUACCAAGGCGACGAUCAGUAUCUGGUUUGAGAGGACGAUCAGACACACUGGAACUGAGACACGGUCCAGACUCCUACGGGAGGCAGCAGUGGGGAAUUUUCCGCAAUGGGCGAAACCUGACGGAGCAAUACCGCGUGAGGGAAGACUGCCUAUGGGUUGYAAACCUCUUUUUUCAGGGAGGAAUAAAAUGACGUGUACCUGAAGAAUAAGCAUCGGCUAACUCCGUGCCAGCAGCCGCGGUAAGACGGAGGAUGCAAGUGUUAUCCGGAAUCACUGGGCGUAAAGCGUCUGUAGGUGGUUUAAUAAGUCAACUGUUAAAUCUUGAGGCUCAACUUCAAAAUCGCAGUCGAAACUAUUAGACUAGAGUAUAGUAGAGGUAAAGGGAAUUUCCAGUGGAGCGGUGAAAUGCGUAGAUAUUGGAAAGAACACCGAUGGCGAGAGCACUUUACUGGGCUAUUACUAACACUCAGAGACGAAAGCUAGGGUAGCAAAUGGGAUUAGAUACCCCAGUAGUCCUAGCCGUAAACUAUGGAUACUAGAUGUUGAACAGAU
rnacentral:rRNA from 1 species